CUACGGGGUGCACCAGUGGGGAAUAUUGCGCAAUGGGCGGAAGCCUGACGCAGCAACGCCGUGUGAGGGAUGACGGCCUUCGGGUUGUAAACCUCUUUCAGCAGGGAAGAAGCGAGAGUGACGGUACCUGCAGAAGAAGCACCGGCUAACUACGUGCCAGCAGCCGCGGUAAUACGUAGGGUGCAAGCGUUGUCCGGAUUUAUUGGGCGUAAAGAGCUCGUAGGCGGUUAGUCGCGUCGGAUGUGAAAUCCUAGAGCUUAACUCUGGGCCUGCAUUCGAUACGGGCUGACUCGAGUAUUGUAGGGGAGACUGGAACUCCUGGUGUAGCGGUGAAAUGCGCAGAUAUCAGGAAGAACACCGGUGGCGAAGGCGGGUCUCUGGGCAAUUACUGACGCUGAGGAGCGAAAGCGUGGGGAGCAAACAGGAUUAGAUACCCCCGUAGUC
rnacentral:rRNA from 1 species